AUUAUUUUUUAUUUUUUUUUUUUUAAAAUUUUUUUUAUUCAGAAUUUCAUCGAGAGUUCUUUUUUUUUUUGUAAACCUAAUUACCUUUUCUUUCUUCCAACCACAAUCAACCUUAUUUUAGCCCUAAUUAUUGAAAUCUAAAUGUCUUAAUACUCUUGCACUACAUCAACUGGUAUUAGAGCUGAAAAAUCCUGUGUUCCUACAAUAAUAUUUGGCGACAAACUACGGUUGGCAAACGAAAAGGUCAAGGUAGAGGCAACCAGCCCCAACAAACAGAGUUGGCUUAGAUGUGGAGAAUGAAUGGGGACUUGACCCAAGCUGUGCAAACCUUGCAGCGUCAAGGAACAGUGGGAGCCUGAAUGGAUAAUCUGGAAGGUGACCACAACCCCUUCGAGAUUCAAGAAGAUUGAAGUUGAGGAUAAAGUCAAGGACCUGAACCCCUUUCAUGAAGCUACACUCAAGAUCGGGCAGCAAGAGGCAGACAGGAAGGGCGGUUACCACAUGCCAUUGAUUUGAAUGGUGAAGUCAAAGUUAAAGUAGCUGAUUUUCAUGAAAAGGUACUUGCGUAUAAUAAUUUUAAUUGAAAAGCCAAUUUGGAGAAUUAUUUCAAAUGAAAGCAUAUGGUGGAAAAUCGAAAGGUGUCAUUUGUAAAGCUUAAAUCGAAGACUGCAUUCAAUAGUGGAAGAGAGUUGAAUGGCAAAGUGCAAGACACAGGAAGCUUAAAGCCAGCACUUGGAAGACAAGAAAACUAAGCUACAGAAGCAAAUUUUACCUGUUGAUUAUACAAUGAAACAAUUGUAUGAGAAGAAAAUAAUUUUGUUUAUUCCACAACUAAAGGAGAUAGAAAUACUUCCUUAAAAAAAAAGGAGGUAGCAAUACUCAGAUUCGAUAUUUUACCUGUGGAGAGAAGGGGCACUUCUUUUUCUUACCCAUAAUGAAGGAUGAACCUAGCAAAAUUCAUGGAAGAGCAGGAACAAAUUUAUGAAGACUUUGAUAAAGAGAUCUAAUUGUCUCAAACUCUUUCGCUGCAUCACUAGUGACCUACUAUAUUACAAACUGGGCAUCCUUCCAUAUUGCUAUUCAUUAACAGCAGGUGAGAAUGUGACCCUUUUGAACUUUCACUUUGUAGAAUCUACUCCACAAAUCACAAUUGACCCGGAAAAAGAAGACCACCAAAAGUUACUUCCAAAUUAUCAUGGACCAAAUGAUUCCAAAUCACUAAAUACACAAAACAGUCAGUGUCAACAUAAGUUUAGAAUGAAUCCUCAAAAAAAUCCACAACAUUUUUGUAAAGGAACCAUCAUAAUCUUAUACCAAGAAAUAUACAUACUUUCCAAAUCUGGAACCUUAACCAAAAUUUGAGUUAGAAGUGCAGCGAGACUCAUUAAUCAAAACCCCCAAUACAACAAACCAGUAAACAACUACUGAGCAAAAAGAAACAAGCUUUAGAGUUUGAAAUCAAAAUUUUAAGUUAAACACAGCUCUUCAUAAGAAAAGACGAGAAACUUAUCAAUGCAACAUCCAAAAGAAUAUAUAUUCCCUGACUAGAAUUAAAACCCACCAAAAAAAAAACAUGUAAAUUCUUACAAAAGUGACAUACUCAAACAUUAUUUCAAGCAAACACCCGUCAAUUAAUAACCUCGAACAAUAACCCAACAGUAGAAUCUCAAAACAAAAUCUCCAAAAUGAAAAGGUGGAUAUUCAACAAGCUCUACAAUUAGUCAUAUCCAAAUCCAAUAACCACGAGCAGAAUUACAAUUGAAUGGUAACCUUACUACGCAAUUCAUUAAAAAUAUAGUUAAUUGGAAAUUUUAUAUAAAAACCUAAACAUUACGCUCUCAAUCAAACCCUAGACCAACCAAGACCCGAAAUUCUGAAAAAUUAUGGCUAAGAGCAAAACUUAAAUUAAUCAAGAGCCCAGAAUCCAAUAACCUCAAAGCCUAACCUACCAACAGAAACUCCCUAAAUUUUCAACAUCCAACCAAAGAUCACAUAAUACCAAAUUAACCCAACAAACCCAUCAAUCAAAAGCCAAGAAAAAACACCUACCACAAAAGAAGAAAAAGAGGGAAA
rnacentral:misc_RNA from 1 species